UUUAGAACUGUCGAGGUAGAGGGAGUUUAGAACUGUCGAGGUAGAGGGAGUUUAGAACUGUCGAGGUAGAGGGAGUUUAGAACUGUCGAGGGAGUUUAGAACUGUCGAGGGAGUUUAGAACUGUCGAGGGAGUUUAGAACUGUCCAGGGAGUUUAGAACUGUCGAGGUAGAGGGAGUUUAGAACUGUCGAGGUAGAGGGAGUUUAGAACUGUCGAGGUAGAGGGAGUUUAGAACUGUCGAGGUAGAGGGAGUUUAGAACUGUCGAGGUAGAGGGAGUUUAAAAUAAAUAAAUGUGCCGAAUACAACAGGUGUAGACCUUACCGUGAAAUGUUGACUUACAAGCCCUUAACCAACAAUGCAGUUCAUAAAUAGUCCGGGUAGCCAUUUGAUUCAUUGUUAGGUAGUCUUAUGGCUUGGAGGUAGAAGCUGUU
rnacentral:lncRNA from 1 species